AUUGAACGCUGGCGGCAGGCCUAACACAUGCAAGUCGAGCGAGCGGCGGACGGGUGAGUAAUGUAUGGGGACUGCCCGAUAGCGGGGGAUCACUACUGGACACGGUGGCUAAUCACGCAUACUAUCGGAUAACCCCUCUUGGUUGAGCUAGUAGGUGGGGUAAAGGCUCACAUAGGCGACGAUCUCUAGCUGGUCUGAGAGACUGAUCAGCCACACUGAGACUGAGACACGGCCCAGACUCAUACGGAGGCGGCAGUGGGGAAUAUUGUACAAUGGGCGCAAGCCUGAUGCAGCCAUGCCGCGUGUAUGAAGAGGGCCUUAGGGUUGUAAAGUACUUUCAGCGGGGAGGCGUUACCCGCAGAAGAGGCACCGGCUAACUCCGUGCCAGCAGCCGCGGUAAUAC
rnacentral:rRNA from 1 species